GCUUCCCGUCCGAUCAGCCAUGAUAAUCAUCUAAUCGCUACACUAGUACUCAAGUUGGUGACAAUUGGGGAAUCCGUAGUGUUGUAUGUU
rnacentral:rRNA from 1 species